GCCAGACUCCUACGGGAGGCAGCAGUGGGGGAUAUUGCACAAUGGGGGAAACCCUGAUGCAGCGACGCCGCGUGUGGGAAGACGGUCCUCUGGAUUGUAAACCACUGUCCCCAGGGACGAAGAUGACGGUACCUGACUAAGAAGCCCCGGCUAACUACGUGCCAGCAGCCGCGGUAAUACGUAGGGGGCAAGCGUUAUCCGGAUUUACUGGGUGUAAAGGGAGCGUAGACGGCUAGUCAAGUCAGAAGUGAAAGCCCAGGGCUCAACCUUGGGACUGCUUUUGAAACUGAGUAGCUAGAGUGCAGGAGAGGUAAGCGGAAUUCCUAGUGUAGCGGUGAAAUGCGUAGAUAUUAGGAGGAACACCAGUGGCGAAGGCGGCUUACUGGACUGUAACUGACGUUGAGGCUCGAAAGCGUGGGGAGCAAACAGGAUUAGAUACCCGCGUA
rnacentral:rRNA from 1 species